ensembl:lncRNA
AACACGUCAAUCACUUAGGAGUCAUUCUUGUCUACAUCUGCUCCGGCGGUGAAACAAUGGCGGACCGAUAACAGCUCACUCAGGGCGGGUCCAAGGGAAAUGUCAUCAAAACAAUUUGCUGAAACCUGAAGAAGAAGCAUCUGCGAUAUGAGAUAUGGGGAAAGAAACAUCAACACCAGUUCCACGCUAAAAAACAAUGGUGGAGAAACAAUUUUUACUCAGAAAUUAAUAGAUUGUUCAGCAUCUGAGAGUAAAGCAGGCCACUUUCCUAACACCCAACUGUCUGCAGGACCUUUUUAACAUCUUAAAACUGACAAGGACUGUCGGCUGGCUCCUCACCCCUGACCCCUUUGACGACGCCUGACUGCAUCUUAUUUUAGAUAUAGCAAGGCUUAUGUUAAGCUGCUCCUGUGCUCCUGUCUUAUUCAGGAGCUUCAGGAAUGCACAGUUUUCACAGGUAUAGAGCUUGUAUUUACAUGCCAGCAGUGGCCUGUUAUGGUUUCCCUGUACCCCAAAAAUGGAAAUAGUUUUUCUCUCAAAGUGAGGGUGAGCUGGGGCUAAUUGCUUCAAGGAAAUUUACACUGAGGUCUGUAUUAUAUUAUAAAAGUCAAACUAGAUAAAGUUUGUAAAGACGUGAAAAAGUUGUAAAAGCUUGAAGAUUGAAACAGUUGUAAAUUUUAAAUUUUAG